AAAUUGAAGAGUUUGAUCAUGGCUCAGAUUGAACGCUGGCGGCAGGCCUAACACAUGCAAGUCGAACGGUAACAGGAAGCAGCUUGCUGCUUUGCUGACGAGUGGCGGACGGGUGAGUAAUGUCUGGGAAACUGCCUGAUGGAGGGAGAUAACUACUGGAAACGGUGGCUAAUACCGCAUAA
rnacentral:rRNA from 1 species